GACUUAUACAAUCAAGAAAUAUUACUUUUGGAUUUUCUUUUAUUGUUUAAAAUUUACAUUAAAAAUGAUAAAAAAAAAGUAACACGUUUUUUAAUUUUAGUUAUUAAAUUAAUUACUACUUAUAAAAAUAGUUUUAAAAAAAAAAUUUUUUUUUUUAAAAUAAUGAAAGAUGUUAAUUCUUUUUUACAAUUGUUGUAUGUAAACAACUCAGAUAUAUGUAUGUUAACUAGAGAAUGUUUAGAAUCAUUAAAAUGUUUCGACUGGUUUACAUAUAAGUAUGUAAAAAACGUGAAUGAAGAAAAAACUGGUUUGUUAUAUAAAUUUAGCAGUACUACCGACCAAUUAAAAAACAACAGAACAGUUAUCGAAAACGAAAUUACAAAAAUUAUGAAUUUAAUUUUAUUUCAUUUGAAUGAUAUACAUCAAAUUAUGGGUAAAAAAAUAGUUGACAGAAAAGUUACAAAACAUAUAUUUGAAAAAUUAUAUAAUAAAGUAGUAAUAACUUAUGACUCAUUAUAUAAUACUUAUAUAUAUGACCAAAUUCAGGAUAAAAAAAAAAAAUUAUUUUUUAAAUAUAAAAAUAAGGACGAAAAACUUAUUAUAAUGAGAAACCUUAUAGAACAAAUUGAAGUGUUAAUAAAAAAUAUUAAUUAUCUUUUUUCUUUUGUUUCAAAUAGAGACAAAUGGGAUAUACAUUUUGUAUUAUUUUUUAUUAACGCUUUGACUUGGAUCCAACAAAUAAACAAGAAUGUGAAUAGCGUUUUUUUAAAAGAGUUUUUUUAUGUGAUAAAACAUUUAUUUAUUCAAGCGACUUAUGUUUUCGAAAGUAUGGGAGAGAGAAAUGGAUUGGCACAAGCGAGUAUGAAUCAAAAAAAAAACGUGUUAGUUACUAUGGACCUUAUUCGAGCUGAAAAUGAAAUUAUUUUUAAUGUAAAAAAUAAAAUAUUUUUAUUUGAGCAUAGGAAGUUGAGGAGACUGGUUGAAUAUGUUAAGGGGUGUACUACUAGCAGUAAAUGUGUAAAUGGCAGUAAAAGUGUAAAUGACAAUGACAAUAAAAAAAAAAACGAAUUGGUGAGGCUUUUAGAAUAUUUAUAUAUGACAAUUAUUAAAUUUUUAAUGCCGAGUAAGCAAAAAAAAUGGACAUUCUUUGAUUCAGGUAACUUUUCUUUUUUUAAAAUAUUAUUACUGAGAAUCAUUUGUUAUUAUGACAUUUUUUACUCUGGUCGUGAUGGAUGUGAAAGCGAGGUUAUAAGCGAUAGAAAACGAGAAGGGAAUAGCGAAAGCAACAGCUUAGACAAAUACACAAGCACUAAGAGUAGUUAUAAUACACACCUA
rnacentral:lncRNA from 1 species